rnacentral:rRNA from 1 species
GGGGAAACCCAGGCUAAUACCGCAUACGUCCUACGGGAGAAAGGGGGCUCCGGCUCCCGCUAUGGGAUGAGCCUAUGUCGGAUUAGCUAGUUGGUGAGGUAACGGCUCACCAAGGCCACGAUCCGUAGCUGGUCUGAGAGGAUGAUCAGCCACAUCGGGACUGAGACACGGCCCGAACUCCUACGGGAGGCAGCAGUGGGGAAUAUUGGACAAUGGGGGCAACCCUGAUCCAGCCAUGCCGCGUGUGUGAAGAAGGCCCUCGGGUUGUAAAGCACUUUCAGCGAGGAAGAACGCCUAGCGGUUAAUACCCGCUAGGAAAGACAUCACUCGCAGAAGAAGCACCGGCUAACUCCGUGCCAGCAGCCGCGGUAAUACGGAGGGUGCAAGCGUUAAUCGGAAUUACUGGGCGUAAAGCGCGCGUAGGUGGCUUGAUAAGCCGGUUGUGAAAGCCCCGGGCUCAACCUGGGAACGGCAUCCGGAACUGUCAAGCUAGAGUGCAGGAGAGGAAGGUAGAAUUCCCGGUGUAGCGGUGAAAUGCGUAGAGAUCGGGAGGAAUACCAGUGGCGAAGGCGGCCUUCUGGACUGACACUGACACUGAGGUGCGAAAGCGUGGGUAGCAAACAGGAUUAGAUACCCUGGUAGUCCACGCCGUAAACGAUGUCGACCAGCCGUUGGGUGCCUAGCGCACUUUGUGGCGAAGUUAACGCGAUAAGUCGACCGCCUGGGGAGUACGGCCACAAGGUUAAAACUCAAAUGAAUUGACGGGGGCCCGCACAAGCGGUGGAGCAUGUGGUUUAAUUCGAUGCAACGCGAAGAACCUUACCUACUCUUGACAUCCUGCGAAUUUGGUAGAGAUACCUUAGUGCCUUCGGGAACGCAGAGACAGGUGCUGCAUGGCUGUCGUCAGCUCGUGUUGUGAAAUGUUGGGUUAAGUCCCGUAACGAGCGCAACCCUUGUCCUUAUUUGCCAGCGCGUAAUGGCGGGAACUCUAAGGAGACUGCCGGUGACAAACCGGAGGAAGGUGGGGACGACGUCAAGUCAUCAUGGCCCUUACGAGUAGGGCUACACACGUGCUACAAUGGUCGGUACAAAGGGUUGCCAACUCGCGAGAGUGAGCCAAUCCCGAAAAGCCGAUCUCAGUCCGGAUCGGAGUCUGCAACUCGACUCCGUGAAGUCGGAAUCGCUAGUAAUC